rnacentral:rRNA from 1 species
AGCGAACGCUGGCGGCAGGCCUAACACAUGCAAGUCGAACGAACCCUUCGGGGUUAGUGGCGGACGGGUGAGUAACACGUGGGAACGUGCCUUUAGGUUCGGAAUAACUCAGGGAAACUUGUGCUAAUACCGAAUGUGCUCUUCGGGGGAAAGAUUUAUCGCCUUUAGAGCGGCCCGCGUCUGAUUAGCUAGUUGGUGAGGUAAUGGCUCACCAAGGCUACGAUCAGUAGCUGGUCUGAGAGGAUGGCCAGCCACAUUGGGACUGAGACACGGCCCAAACUCCUACGGGAGGCAGCAGUGGGGAAUCUUGCGCAAUGGGCGAAAGCCUGACGCAGCCAUGCCGCGUGGAUGAUGAAGGUCUUAGGAUUGUAAAAUCCUUUCACCGGUGAAGAUAAUGACUGUAGCCGGAGAAGAAGCCCCGGCUAACUUCGUGCCAGCCGCCGCCGUAAUAC